rnacentral:tRNA from 1 species
GGGAUAGUAGUUUAAUUGGAAAAAUAAGUGCAGCCACCGCAUUGGUUUUGGGUUCGAGUCCCAACUAUCCGA